CAGCCCUUGACAUGCCGGUCGCGGACAGUGGAGACAUUGUCCUUCAGUUAGGCUGGACCGGACACAGGUGCUGCAUGGCUGUCGUCAGCUCGUGUCGUGAGAUGUUGGGUUAAGUCCCGCAACGAGCGCAACCCUCGCCUCUAGUUGCCAUCAUUUAGUUGGGCACUCUAGGGGGACUGCCGGUGAUAAGCCGGAGGAAGGUGGGGAUGACGUCAAGUCUUCAUGGCCCUUACGGGCUGGGCUACACACGUGCUACAAUGGCGGUGACAGAGGGUUGCUACACAGCGAUGUGAUGCUAAUCCCUAAAAGCCGUCUCAGUUCGGAUUGCACUCUGCAACUCGGGUGCA
rnacentral:rRNA from 1 species